rnacentral:rRNA from 1 species
CCUACGGGGGGCUGCAGUGGGGAAUAUUGCACAAUGGGCACAAGCCUGAUGCAGCGACGCCGCGUGAGUGAAGAAGGUUUUCGGAUCGUAAAACUCUGUUGUUAGAGAAGAACAAGGAUGAGAGUAACUGUUCAUCCCUUGACGGUAUCUAACCAGAAAGCCACGGCUAACUACGUGCCAGCAGCCGCGGUAAUACGUAGGUGGCAAGCGUUGUCCGGAUUUAUUGGGCGUAAAGCGAGCGCAGGCGGUUUCUUAAGUCUGAUGUGAAAGCCCCCGGCUCAACCGGGGAGGGUCAUUGGAAACUGGGAGACUUGAGUGCAGAAGAGGAGAGUGGAAUUCCAUGUGUAGCGGUGAAAUGCGUAGAUAUAUGGAGGAACACCAGUGGCGAAGGCGGCUCUCUGGUCUGUAACUGACGCUGAGGCUCGAAAGCGUGGGGAGCA